AGUGAACGCUGGCGGUAGGCCUAACACAUGCAAGUCGAACGGCAGCACAGUAAGAUCUUGCUCUUACGGGUGGCGAGUGGCGGACGGGUGAGGAAUACAUCGGAAUCUACUUUUUCGUGGGGGAUAACGUAGGGAAACUUACGCUAAUACCGCAUACGACCUACGGGUGAAAGCAGGGGAUCUUCGGACCUUUCGCGAUUGAAUGAGCCGAUGUCGGAUUAGCUAGUUGGGGGGGUAAAGGCCCACCAAGGCGACGAUCCGUAGCUGGUCUGAGAGGGUGAUCAGCCACACUGGAACUGAGACACGGUCCAGACUCCUACGGGAGGCAGCAGUGGGGAAUAUUGGACAAUGGGCGCAAGCCUGAUCCAGCCAUACCGCGUGGGUGAAGAAGGCCUUCGGGUUGUAAAGCCCUUUUGUUGGGAAAGAAAAGCAGCAGGUUAAUACCCCGCUGUUCUGACGGUACCCAAAGAAUAAGCACCGGCUAACUUCGUG
rnacentral:rRNA from 1 species